GAAAGUUCUUCCCGUGCCUCCACCUCAGGAGAACAAACCGCACCUUCAGAGUCCUGCCCUGAGGCCCAAGGGUCCCCCACCUCCCGUUCCUGCCCCCAAACCUGGCUCUUCCCACCCCGAGGAGAAGUUUGCCCCAGAGAGAACAGCUCCUCCUGUGCCCCUUCCCAAAGGCAAACCCCCUCCUCCACCCCAGGCUUUAAAGCCCCCCAUGAACCCCAGAGUCUGAGGCUUCCCAAGCAGAGCUGGCUGGGCCACCUGAACUUUGCAGGGACAGUUCAUCCCUCGAUUCCUCCACUUCUGGCAAAGGUGUCCUGGACCAUCUCCCUCUCCUCCUCGAGAACUGACUGAGAGCUGCCUGGGGAGAUUCGGGAUUUCAGGCAGUGAGGAGCCCCGGUGGUGACAUGGAGCUGCUGUCCAAGGGAAGCAGAGCAGAGCCACCACUUGCACCGAGGUGUAAACUGGGAGUAAGUUACAACAGCUGCUG
rnacentral:lncRNA from 1 species